rnacentral:rRNA from 1 species
GUAGAGAAUCUUCCACAAUGGGCGAAAGCCUGAUGGAGCAACGCCGCGUGUGUGAUGAAGGGUUUCGGCUCGUAAACACUGUUGUAAGAGAAGAAUGACAUUGAGAGUAACUGUUCAAUGUGUGACGGUAUCUUACCAGAAAGGAACGGCUAAAUACGUGCCAG